GAUGAAAGCUUUCUUCUUUCCUAAUACAUGCAAGUCGAGCGAACAGAUGAGGAGCUUGCUCCUCUGACGUUAGCGGCGGACGGGUGAGUAACACGUGGAUAACCUACCUAUAAGACUGGGAUAACUUCGGGAAACCGGAGCUAAUACCGGAUAAUAUAUUGAACCGCAUGGUUCAAUAGUGGAAGACGGUUUUGCUGUCACUUAUAGAUGGAUCCGCGCCGCAUUAGCUAGUUGGUAAGGUAACGGCUUACCAAGGCAACGAUGCGUAGCCGACCUGAGAGGGUGAUCGGCCACACUGGAACUGAGACACGGUCCAGACUCCUACGGGAGGCAGCAGUAGGGAAUCUUCCGCAAUGGGCGAAAGCCUGACGGAGCAACGCCGCGUGAGUGAUGAAGGUCUUCGGAUCGUAAAACUCUGUUAUUAGGGAAGAACAAAUGUGUAAGUAACUAUGCACGUCUUGACGGUACCUAAUCAGAAAGCCACGGCUAACUACGUG
rnacentral:rRNA from 1 species